GACGAACGCUGGCGGCGUGCUUAACACAUGCAAGUCGAACGGUAAGGCCCUUCGGGGUACACGAGUGGCGAACGGGUGAGUAACACGUGGGUAAUCUGCCUGCACAUCGGGAUAAGCCUGGGAAACUGGGUCUAAUACCGAAUAGGACCACAGGACACAUGUCCUGUGGUGGAAAGCUUUUGCGGUGUGGGAUGGGCCCGCGGCCUAUCAGCUUGUUGGUGGGGUGAUGGCCUACCAAGGCGACGACGGGUAGCCGGCCUGAGAGGGUGUCCGGCCACACUGGGACUGAGAUACGGCCCAGACUCCUACGGGAGGCAGCAGUGGGGAAUAUUGCACAAUGGGCGAAAGCCUGAUGCAGCGACGCCGCGUGGGGGAUGACGGCCUUCGGGUUGUAAACCUCUUUCACCAUCGACGAAGGUCCGGGUUUUCUCGGGCUGACGGUAGGUGGAGAAGAAGCACCGGCCAACUACGUG
rnacentral:rRNA from 1 species